rfam:Canis lupus familiaris chromosome X, whole genome shotgun sequence.
GGGGGGAGGCCGGAUCCUGGGCUGUGUCCCGGCGCCCUGUGCUCCGGGGCCUGCGCUGUUGGAUUCGCGCUCCCGGGCCGCGCAACCCCCU